rnacentral:rRNA from 1 species
UACGGGGGGGGUAAGCGUUGUUCGGAAUUACUGGGCGUAAAGGGCUCGUAGGCGGCCAACUAAGUCAGACGUGAAAUCCCUCGGCUUAACCGAGGAACUGCCUGUCAAACUGCAUGGCUUGAGACCAGGAGAGGUGAGUGGAAUUCCCAGUGUAGCGGUGAAAUGCGUAGAUAUUGGGAGGAACACCAGUGGCGAAGGCGGCUCACUGGACUGGUACUGACGCUGAUGCGCGAAAGCGUGGGGAGCAAACAGG